CUAUGAUGGGGAUAACAGUUGGAAACGACUGCUAAUAUCGAAUACGCUCAUAAUGAACUUUAUGAGGAAAGGUGGCCUCUGCUUGCAAGCUAUCGCAUAGAGAUGAGUCCGCGUCCCAUUAGCUAGUUGGUGGGGUAACGGCCUACCAAGGCAACGAUGGGUAGCCGAUCUGAGAGGAUGAUCGGCCACACUGGAACUGAAACACGGUCCAG
rnacentral:rRNA from 1 species